GUGGUCAUUCCCUUGCUCUGCAGCCGAGUCUGAGCCCAGAACUCAAAGCCAAACCUGUCAGCUCUCCGAAUGGGUGCACGACCAAGGAUGCCCGGCCUGGAUGUCUACUCAGGUCUGAUCCCUGAGGUGAACCCCAAUGCAACACCAAACUUCAGGGGCACAAGCGAGGAUACAUCUAAGGGACCAGAAUGAGACUUGGCUACAGGCAAAAGGGCUCCUUCCCGUGGCUGCUUCAACCCAGUUCCCCAGGCCCAGCUUCUGGAAUAGACAGUUCCUUCUGGUUAGAUGGGUCCUACCAUGUGGCAGGAAACAGCCAUUGCCUGGCCUCCCCCUGCAUUCCUGUCUGGGUGAAGAGAAGACGUGUUACGGCAGAGCAGGUGGGCAAGGCCAGGGCUACCCCAGGCCCAUGUGGCCUCCUCCUUGCUUGGAAGCGGUGACUCUGAGCACAGGUAGACGCAGAUGUGUGCAGAGAAUGUGCUCUUCGAAGGAAGAACACUGAUGAGCGAGCUCUGUACCAGCCCUUGCCAUGUACAGCCAAGAGCCUAGAAUGACAUGGCCCUUCUCAGCAGUAAUAACAGAUGGUCUCAGCGCCUCA